AUUAAACGCUGGCGGCAUGUCUAACACAUGCAAGUCGAACGGCAGCAUGUCCUUGCUUGCAAGGAUGAUGGCGAGUGGCGAACGGGUGAGUAAUACAUGGGAAUCUACCUAAAAGCGGGGGAUAGCCCGAAGAAAUUCGGAUUAAUACCGCAUAAUCUCCAAGGAGUAAAGAGGGCCUCUGCUUGCAAGCUCUCACUUUUAGAUGAGCCCAUGCCAGAUUAGCUAGUUGGUAGGGUAAAGGCCUACCAAGGCAACGAUCUGUAGUUGAUUUGAUGAGAAUGAUCAGCCACACUGGGGACUGAGACACGGCCCAGACUUCUACGGAAGCAGCAGUGAAGAUAUUGGACAAUGGGCGAAAGCCUGAUCCAGCAAUGCCGCGUGUGUGAAGAAGGCCUGAGGGUUGUAAAGCACUUUCAAUCGUGAAGAAAAGCAGUUACCUAAUACGUAACUGCCUUGACAUUAGCGAUAC
rnacentral:rRNA from 1 species